rnacentral:rRNA from 1 species
CCUACGGGCGGCAGCAGUGGGGAAUAUUGCACAAUGGGGGAAACCCUGAUGCAGCGACGCCGCGUGAGUGAAGAAGUAAUUCGUUAUGUAAAGCUCUAUCAGCAGGGAAGAAAAUGACGGUACCUGAGUCAGACCCCCCGGCUAACCACGGGCCAGCUGCGGCGGUACUACGUAGGGGGCAAGCGUUAUCCGGAUUUACUGGGUGUAAAGGGAGCGUAGACGGCAGUGAAAGUCUGGAGUGAAACGCGGGGGCUCAACCCCCGGACUGCUCUGGAAACUGUACGGCUGGAGUGCAGGAGAGGUAAGUGGAAUUCCUAGUGUAGCGGUGAAAUGCGUAGAUAUUAGGAGGAACACCAGUGGCGAAGGCGGCUUACUGGACUGUAACUGACGUUGAGGCUCGAAAGCGUGGGGAGCAAACAGGAUUAGAUACCCUGGUAGUC